GCCCGGUUAGCUCAAUCGGUAGAGCGUGAGACUCUUAAAUGAGUACACCAUCUCAAGGUUGCGGGUUCGACCCCCGCAUCGGGCU
rfam:Fusarium oxysporum f. sp. cubense race 4 unplaced genomic scaffold scaffold22, whole genome shotgun sequence.